rnacentral:rRNA from 1 species
GGAUUCCCCUAGUAACUGCGAGUGAAGCGGGAAAAGCUCAAAUUUAAAAUCUGGUGGCCUUUGGCCAUCCGAGUUGUAAUUUAGAGAAGCGUCUUCCGCGCUGGACCGUGCACAAGUCUCCUGGAAUGGAGCGUCAUAGAGGGUGAGAAUCCCGUCUUUGGCACGGAUGCACCAGGGCUUUUGUGAUGCGCUCUCGAAGAGUCGAGUUGUUUGGGAAUGCAGCUCAAAAUGGGUGGUGAACUCCAUCUAAAGCUAA